CAAAUUAUGCUGUUCUUGCUUAAUGUUUUCCAGCUUUUCUCUUCAUAUUUACAUGGAUUGAAAACAUAAUGGAAGACCAUGUUUCAGGGAGUAACGAUGCAAACAGCAUGGAUGGGAAGGAAACAAGAGCCAUGGCCUCAUGGGACUUUCACAUUUCAAUGCUUCCAUUACGGAUUUCUCCAUGAAGAUCCCCUGGAACAGCAGAUAAAUAGCAGCACACUAUCACUGCUACAUUUAUUCCGUGGGUAAAUGAGUUCUACAAAUCAUGUGACCAUGAUACAUGCUGCCUUUGUGGAUAGUAUCUUUGGUGGUUGAUGUCUUGGGAGAACAGCAGAAGAAUGCAGAAGAAAACAAGAUGGGGGAUAUUGAA
rnacentral:lncRNA from 1 species